rnacentral:tRNA from 2 species
GGGGCGUUAGCUCAGUUGGGAGAGCAGCUGCUUUGCAAGCAGCAGGUCACCGGUUCGAGCCCGGUACGCUCCA